rnacentral:rRNA from 1 species
GACGAACGCUGGCGGCGUGCCUAAUACAUGCAAGUCGAACGCAGUGGGGACGGGUGAGUAACACGUGGGUAACCUCCCAUCAGAGGGGAUAACACUUGGAAACAGGUGCUAAACCGAUACUGGUGGAUGAACCCGCGGUGCAUUAUCUAGUUGGUGAGGUAACGGCUCACCAAGGCCACGAUGCAUAGCCGACCUGAGAGGGUGAUCGGCCACACUGGGACUGAGACACGGCCCAGACUCCUACGGGAGGCAGCAGUAGGGAAUUUUCGGAAAUGGACGAAAGUCUGACCGAGCAACGCCGCGUGAGUGAAGAAGGUUUUCGGAUCGUAAACCUCUGUUGUUAGAGAAGCGGUAUCUAACCAGAAAGCCACGGCUAACUACGUGACAGCAGCCGCGGUAUAC